rnacentral:misc_RNA from 1 species
AAAAAUGCUAGGUCUUAUUCUAUUCAGUUUUUUAUGAUGUGACAUAAUAAAUUCGAGUUUAAUGUUUUUGGAAGUCACAAUCGGUAUAGUAGAUAUUUAUUAUAAAAGGUCCUUGGUUUACCAAUUUAUUAUUUGUGAUCAUAAUCAUCCCUUGAACUCAUUCCAGUCCUUGUGUUUCGAGGCUAGGAUAUAGAUGGAUGAAAAUGUUAAGAAAGAAAAAACAGUUGGGGAUUUGGCAUCUAACAAUUUAUUAGUAUUAUUUGCUUGUUCUUUGUUAACUUUUAAAUAUGACAAGGAUGUAAACUUUCAAAAUUUUUAUAUGUUAUUUAGAAAUUCAUGUUUAUGAUAACACCUUUCUUCCUGCAGGUAUAUCUAGGGGAGCAGUAC